rnacentral:rRNA from 1 species
GACGAACGCUGGCGGCGUGCUUAACACAUGCAAGUCGAACGAAGAGGCCCUGCUUUUGUGCCAUUCUCGAGUGCCGAGCAGGUGAGUGUCACGUGUGUAACCUGCCCUUGUCUUUGGGGUAAAUUCAGGAGACUGGGGCUAAUACCGGAUAGAAGAUCUUGCUGCAUAGUGUGUGAUUGAAAGAUUCGGCGGUUCGGCAUGGACUCGCGGCCUAGCAGCUUGUUGGUGGGGUAGUGGCUUACCAGGGCAUUGACGGGUAGCCAGACUGAGAGGGUGACCGGCCACAUUGGGACUGAGAUACGGGCCAGACUGCUACGUGAGGCAGCAGUGGAGAAUAUAGCACAAUGGGCGGAAGCCUGAUGCAGCAACGCCGCGUGCGGGAUGACGGCUGGCGGGUUGUAAACCGCGUUCGCGUGUGACGAAGAGUGAGUGACGGUAAUGGGUAAAGAAGCAACGGCUAACUACGUG